rnacentral:lncRNA from 1 species
GCUUGCCUUGCUGCCCGGCUGUUAGCCAGGUCUUUUGCUCAGGCGUUGAUGUUUUUUCACCAUUGAGGAUGUUCCAAGCUUUCUUAGCCUUCGGAUUUAAGCUACGGAGGGUCCUUGUUUUCGCGCAAUGCUUGUCGAAUGUUACAGGCCCGUUGCUGGCUGUUUUUGACUUGUAUGUUAUGUCUCUGGGGUAAUUCCUCUUUAUAUUUCAGAGGUUUUUACAUAGGUUCUGCCUUGUUAAAAGCCUCACCUCCACUAGGAGUACCCUAUGAGGAAAAGAGUGCAGACCUUGGUUUGGGAAAAAAAGAAAAAAUGAAAUUCAAAACACUUGGGCGCCUUCGCUUAUUCUGCAAGGUCGUCCUUACAUUUAAAUGUAAAAUCUUCGUAGAUUGUCAACAUACUAGGU